UCUACAGUGAAGAAGAAGUAUCAUUCCAUGUGAAUGCCGAAGAUCUUUCUGAAGAAGAUACUGAGAAGAGCCACAAGAAGAAGAAGAAGAAGAUGAAGUGGUGCUUCUUCUGCUGUCCCCUGCCUUUCAGAAGAAGUAGCAAGAGGCAGUAAUUAUAAGGUUGUGAAUUCAGGUUUACAAAUGACUUAAAGCAGUAAUAUAACUGCAUUAUUGACACCUUCACAAUGCACUGUAAUGCAUCCAUAAAUAUAUUAUAGACAUGGGUAUAAAUAUUGAAGAAAAAAAAGCAUAACACAUUAUAGCCAUGUUUAUUAUGGAUUAAUGGCCGAUAUAAUGUAUUAUGAAGAUAUUUAUUGUGUAUAUAUAGAUCAGAGCAUUCAUAAUGCAUUAUCAAGAUAGCUAUAAUGUGUUAUGCCUUUGUAUAAGUAUUUAAAGCCGUGUUUUUAAUACUUUUAUAAAUGAUUUAUGAGGCAUUAAUUGGGUAUUUAUUUAUUUAUUUAUUUAUUUAUUAGUUAUAUGACUGCUUUAAGUAAAGUUAAGUAAAAUGUUUAUUUUCUUUUUUUUAGAAUACCCGUGUUAGAGCCCUGCAUUGGGACUGGGAUCCCGCGGGACCCAACGGAAAGUGAUACUGUUUAAGUGUUAAUGUAGCUAUAAGAUACGAUAGGAUAAGAUAUGCUGAGUUAAAAUAUAAGAUAGGCUAAGACAAAAUAUAUUAAUAUAAGCUAAGUUGAAAUAUAAUAAGAUAAGAUAGGUUAAGUUAUAUGAUAAGAUAGGCUAAGUUAAAAUAUAAUAAGAUAGGUUAAGUUAAGAUAUGACAAGAUAGGUUAAGUUAUAUGAUAAGAUAGGCUAAGUUAAAAUAUAAUAAGACAGGUUAAGUUAAGAUAUGACAAGAUAGGCUAAGAUAAAAUAUGAUAGGCUAAGUUAACACAUGAUAAGAUAGGCUAAGUUAAAAUAUUAUAAGAUAGGCUAAGUUAAAAUAUAAGAUGGGUUAAGUUAACAUAUGAUAAGGUAGGCUAUGUUAAGAUAAGAGAUUUGCAAUAAAACAUAUUUACUUUUCAAA